UACGGGGGGGGCAAGCGUUGUUCGGAAUUACUGGGCGUAAAGGGCUCGUAGGCGCCAACUAAGUCAGACGUGAAAUCCCUCGGCUUAACCGGGGAACUGCGUCUGAUACUGGUUGGCUUGAGUGUGGGAGAGGGAUGCGGAAUUCCAGGUGUAGCGGUGAAAUGCGUAGAUAUCUGGAGGAACACCGGUGGCGAAGGCGGCAUCCUGGACCAUUACUGACGCUGAGGAGCGAAAGCCAGGGGAGCAAAGCGGGG
rnacentral:rRNA from 1 species